CGGGGUGCAGCAGGCGCGAAAACUCUACAAUGCAGGCAACUGCGAUAGGGGAACAUCGAGCGAUCCUCAUAUUGGGGGUCUGUCCCACCGUCUAAAAAACGGUGGUUAGCAAGGGCCGGGCAAGACCGGUGCCAGCCGCCGCGGUAAUACCGGCGGCUCGAGUGGUGGCCGAUAUUAUUGAGUCUAAAGGGUCCGUAGCCGGCUUUGCAAGUCUCUCGGGAAAUCCAGCGGCUUAACCGUUGGUCGUCCGGGGGGUACUACAUUGCUUGGGACUGGGAGAGGUAGGAGGUACUCAGGGGGUAGGAGUGAAAUCCUGUAAUCCUCUGGGGACCACCGGUGGCGAAGGCGUCCUACCAGAACAGGUCCGACGGUGAGGGACGAAAGCUAGGGGCACGAACCGGAUUAGAUACCCGGGUAGUCCUAGCCGUAAACGAUGCUCGCUAGGUGUCACAACAGUCGUGAAUUGAUGUGGUGCCGUAGGGAAGCCGUGAAGCGAGCCACUUGGGAAGUACGACCGCAAGGUUGAAACUUAAAGGAAUUGGCGGGGGAGCACAAGGGCGAAUCGCGG
rnacentral:rRNA from 1 species